AUGGACCGAGUAGAGGUUGUGGAAAGUGUGGGUGGUAGUGGUGGAUUACUCCUCUUUUGGCGCCACCCUGUUGUGAUUAGCAUAAAGGAUAAGACCAAGAAUUUUAUUGAUGUAGUGGUGGGAGGACCAGUGGAAGAGCAAUGGAGGCUUACAGGGUUCUUUGGUGAGCCCAAAUGGGAGGACAAACACUUGUCUUGGAGCUGCUUGCGUGGUCUAUCUCAACAGAACCAACUCCCGUGGGUAGUUGUUGGUGAUUUUAACGAGAUCUUGUACUCGCAUGAGAAGGAGGGGGAGCACCGUGGCGUUAAUAUGAUGCAGAAUUUCAGAGAUGCACUGGUCGACUGUGAACUUGAGGAUAUGCGUGUUGUUGGUGAGCAGUUUACAUGGCGAAGGCGCAGAUUGAGGGAGCGUUUGGACAUAGCAGUUUGCAAUGGAGCUUUCCUUGGUAUGUUUCCCACAGCUGUAGUCACAAAUGCACCGCAUACAAAAUCAGAUCACAGGCCGGUGGUG
rnacentral:rRNA from 1 species